AGCAGCCGCGGUAAUUCCAGCUCCAAUAGCGUAUAUUAAAGUUGUUGCAGUUAAAAAGCUCGUAGUUGAAUUUCGGGGUUAGUAGGUUGGUCAUGCCUCUGGUAUGUACUGGUCUCACUGAUUCCUCCUUUCUGAUGAACCGUAAUGCCAUUAAUUUGGUGUUGCGGGGAAUUUGGACUGUUACUUUGAAAAAAUUAGAGUGUUUAAAGCAAGCUAACGCUUGAAUACAUUAGCAUGGAAUAAUGAAAUAGGACGUUCGAUCCUAUUUUGUUGGUUUCUAGGAUUGACGUAAUGAUUAAUAGGGAUAGUUGGGGGCAUUAGUAUUCAAUUGUCAGAGGUGAAAUUCUUGGAUUUAUUGAAGACUAACUACUGCGAAAGCAUUUGCCAAGGAUGUUUUCAUUAAUCAAGAACGAAAGUUAGGGGAUCGAAGACGAUCAGAUACCGUCGUAGUCUUAACCAUAAACUAUGCCGACUAGGGAUCGGAUGAUGUUAAUUUUUUAAUGACUCAUUCGGCGCCUUACG
rnacentral:rRNA from 1 species